rnacentral:sRNA from 1 species
UCUCUCUGUACGGGAAGGAUGAGAAGCUUCGACUAAGGUUCGAUUCGAGCGAAAGCGAGAAAGCGUUGCCAACGGCAACGACCCGAAGGGCGAAGCGCGCAGCGCUGAGUAAUCCUUCCCCCACCACCA